AAUGGGCGCAAGCCUGAUCCAGCCACGCCGCGUGAGUGAUGAAGGCCUUCGGGUCGUAAAGCUCUGUGGGGAGGGACGAACGGCGCCAUGAAGAGUGGCGAUUGACGGUACCUCCUUAGCAAGCACCGGCUAACUUCGUGCCAGCAGCCGCGGUAAUACGAAGGGUGCAAACGUUGCUCGGAAUCAUGGGGCGUAAAGCGCACGUAGGCGGCUUCAUAAGUCGGAUGUGAAAUCCCUCGGCUUAACCGAGGACGUGCAUCGGAAACUGUGAGGCUUGAGUAUGGAAGAGGGUCGCAGAAUUCCCGGUGUAGAGGUGAAAUUCGUAGAUAUCGGGAGGAAUACCAGUGGCGAAGGCGGCGACCUGGGCCAAUACUGACGCUGAGGUGCGAAAGCGUGGGGAGCAAA
rnacentral:rRNA from 1 species